AAUGAAUGAAGGAAGGAAGGAAGGAAGGAAGGAAGGAAGGAAGGAAGGAAGGAAGGAAGGAAGGAAGGAAGGAAGGAAGGAAGGAAGAGAAAGAAAGAAAGAAAGAAAGAAAGAAAGAAAGAAAGAAAGAAAGAAAGAAAGAAAGAAAGAAAGAAAGAAAGAAAGAAAGAAAGAAAGAAAGAAAGAAAGAAAGAGAGAAAGAAAGAGAGAAAGAAAGAGAGAAAGAAAGAACAAAGGAAGGAAGAUAUGAUUAAGAUGAUGCAACUUGUUUGGACAUGUGGAAUUUAAAGUCCUAUUAAGACAGUCAGGAACAACUAUCUAGAAAGCAUUUGGAAGUGUGGUUCUAGACUUCAAUGGACAAAUAAGGGCAAAUUAUAUAGAUUUGUAAGUCAUCUCCACAGAAACAAUCAUUAGACUAUGCAGAUAAAGGAAAGCACAUAGAGAAGAGAAAAGGUCUUAGGACUGAUGCCUACAGGAGAGCUAUUCUUAAGAAGAUGAUGAUCUAACAAAGGCAAUUAAGGAGUAGUCAAUCAUCCUGAAGGAAAAGAAAAAUAUAGGAGUAAUUAAUUGACUCAAGAGAAGAAGAACAUAUUCAAGAUAACAAAGUGAACAAUACUAUCAAAGCUUCAAAACUGUUAGUGGGGAUGGAGCUGGAGGUGAUGCCAAUGGAUUUAGCCAUUAAAAGAUCAUUAAUAAGAGAAAGCAGUUUCAAUAAGGUGGUAAAGAGAAAGCCAAGUUUCAAGGAUUUUGUGGCCAAGUGGUUGCUAAUGAAGUAAUGGAAGUAAGAGUACACUAUUUUCAAUUUAGCAAUGAAGAGGAAGAGAAAUGAUAGGAUAAUAACUUGAGGGAAUAACACAGUCUAGUGAAAGCAAGGUUAUCUUCUCUUUGGUAUUUUUUUUAUUAUUUUAGGACAAGGAAAGUAGCAUCCUAUGUAUACAGGGAAAAUUGAUGAUAAAGGAAAUAGUUGAUGAUUCAAGCUCCUGAAAGAUCUAGGAAGAGAAGGAAACAAGGGAACAACUGGGCUUAGAAAGGUCACCUUAUCCUAUAAGAUAGAAGCAAAGGAAGAGAGGGCAAGUGAAAAUGUAGACAGAGAUUUUUUUAAUGACAAAACUCCAAGGUGAAGGCUGAAAGA
rnacentral:lncRNA from 1 species